rnacentral:rRNA from 1 species
UGGGGAAUAUUGCACAAUGGGCGCAAGCCUGAUGCAGAAACGCCGCGUGAACGAUGAAGGUCUUCGGAUCGUAAAGUUCUGUUGCAGGGGAAGAUAAUGACGGUACCCUGUGAGGAAGCCCCGGCUAACUACGUGCCAGCAGCCGCGGUAAUACGCAGGGGGCUAGCGUUAUCCGGAUUUACUGGGCGUAAAGGGUGCGUAGGUGGUCUUUCAAGUCGGUGGUUAAAGGCUACGGCUCAACCGUAGUUAGCCUCCGAAACUGGAAGACUUGAGUGCAGGAGAGGUAAGUGGAAUUCCCAGUGUAGCGAUGAAAUGCGUAGAUAUUGGGAGGAACACCAGUAGCGAAGGCGGCUUUCUGGACUGCAACUGACACUGGGGCACGAAAGGGUGGGUAGCAAACAGA